rnacentral:rRNA from 1 species
GGACUACACGGGUAUCUAAUCCCGUUCGCUCCCCCAGCUUUCGCGUCUCAGCGUCAGGGGCAGGCCAGGAAGCCGCCUUCGCCACUGGCAUUCCUCCCGAUAUCUACGCAUUUCACCGCUACACCGGGAAUUCUACUUCCCUCUCCUGCCCUCAAGCCUCGCAGUAUCCCGCGGCCUCCUACAGUUGAGCCGUAGGCUUUCACACGGGACUUACAAAGCCGCCUGCACGCGCUUUACGCCCAGUAAUUCCGGACAACGCUCGCCCCCUACGUCUUACCGCGGCUGCUGGCAC